GUCAUGGAGGAGAACUGAUGCAAUAUGUAGUUCUCAGGGGUGCUGCAUCAUGGAAAUAGCUUAGGGAAAUCAAUUUCUUUUGGUGUUAAAUAGAGAGAAGAGGCUCAUGCUGAGUUAAGUGCUGGCUGGUAAGAGGCAGACGCAGGAGGCCAGCCCAGCUGCGCAGGGGUGACCAAACCAGCUCUCGCAGGCUAGCUUGGAGGAGAAGCAGAUUCCACAAAUGCAAGGAGACCCAGCAUUUCUGGGAAGCAAUUUGAGCUGGUAGGAGGGGAGCAAGGUUCCAAAGUUUAGUGAGCAUUUACCUUGUGCCGGGCUCUGUGUUGAGAACUUUGCAGGCAUUAUCCUCAGAAGCAUCCCUGAUGUAGAAGCCAUUCUGAUUCCCACCUGACAGGAAGAAACUCGGUUCAGAGGGAUUAAGCUACUUGCCUGGGGUCACCCAGCUAGGAAGUAUCUAUCUGGAGCUGGAUGUGAACCCAGCUCUGACUCCAGAGCUCUCAAGUUCUAUUCCCUGUUGCUAGGUCACCUGAAACUUGAAAAAGCCUGAGGCUGUCAGUGGGCUGGAGUGACAGACUGGGGCUGGGACAGGCUGGGUGCAAGUGAGGUUUUGGCAGGGGCCACCCCAUGAUGAGUUCUCAUGAAAAAUUGCCAUGGCUCCUGGAAUGGCAGGUUUCUGAAUCAGGAUCACUUCUCUGAUUGUUCCAUAACUCAUAACUGCAUAUUAUAAAUUCUGAUCCAUCACCCUCAAUGCUAAUUGGAGAACAGAAUAGUCCCCAUUUCUUAGAGUUGCUCUUCUUCAGUGGUGACAGAGUGAGUACUA
rnacentral:lncRNA from 10 species